rnacentral:rRNA from 2 species
CAACUCCCGACGAUGGAUAUCUUGGCUCCUGGAUCGAUGAAGAGCGCAGCGAAAUGCGAUACGUAAUGCGAAUUGCAGAACUCCGUGAAUCAUCGAAUCUUUGAACGCAUAUUGCGCCCGAGUCUUCGGACAAGGGCAUGUCUGAUUGAGCGCCACCA